GAUGAACGCUGGCGGCGUGCCUAAUACAUGCAAGUCGAGCGAACAGACGAGGAUCUUGCUCCUCUGACGUUAGCGGCGGACGUGUGAGUAACACGUGGAUAACCCACCUAUAAGACUGGGAUAACUUCGGGAAACCGGAGCUAAUACCGGAUAAUAUAUUGAACCGCAUGGUUCAAUAGUGAAAGUCGGUUUUGCUGUCACGUAUAGAUGGAUCCGCGCCGCAUUAGCUAGUUGGUAAGGUAACGGCUUACAAAGGCAACGAUGCGUAGCCGAACUGAUAGGGUGAUCGGCCACACUGGAACUUAGACACGGUCCAGACUCCUACGGGAGGCAGCAGUCGGGAAUCUUCCGCAAAGGGCGAAAGCCUGACGGAGCAGCGCCGAGUGAGUGAUGAAGGUCUUCGGAUCGUAAAACUCUGUUAUUAGGGAAGAACAAAUGUGUACGUAACUAUGCACGUAUUGACGGUACCUAAUCAGAAAGCCACGGCUAACUACGUG
rnacentral:rRNA from 1 species